CCUACGGGAGGCAGCAGUGAGGAAUAUUGGUCAAUGGACGCAAGUCUGAACCAGCCAUGCCGCGUGCAGGAAGACGGCUCUAUGAGUUAUAAACUGCUUUUGUACGAGGGUAAACGCAGAUACGCGUAUCUGUCUGAAAGUAUCGUACGAAUAAGGAUCGGCUAACUCCGUGCCAGCAGCCGCGGUAAUACGGAGGAUUCAAGCGUUAUCCGGAUUUAUUGGGUUUAAAGGGUGCGUAGGCGGUCGGAUAAGUUAGAGGUGAAAUCCCGAGGCUCAACUUCGGAAUUGCCUCUGAUACUGUUCGGCUAGAGAGUAGUUGCGGUAGGCGGAAUGUAUGGUGUAGCGGGGAAAUGCUUAGAGAUCAUACAGAACACCGAUUGCGAAGGCAGCUUACCAAGCUACUUCUGACGUUGAGGCACGAAAGCGUGGGUAGCAAACAGGAUUAGAUACCCUAGUAGUC
rnacentral:rRNA from 1 species